rnacentral:tRNA from 1 species
GGGCCUGUAGUCUAACGGAUAGGAUACAGGGCUUCGGACCCUGCGGUCUGGGUUCGAAUCCCAGCAGGCUCG